rnacentral:lncRNA from 1 species
UCGUGUGCCGGGGCAGUGGCGAUCUCGCGGACGGAUAGUAGAAAAAAAGGUGAGUCUUUUUGCUGGAAAAAAGAGAAGGUGAGGUUGUAUCUCGUUAGUUGGGUUUCCACUGUUGAUGAAAAUCAUACCUGGCCGAUCUGACGGGGCUGCCUGCAACUUCAGAAUUCGAGCGGAUUGCUGCAUAAUAGUCUUGUUGUAGCCUGGCCGAUCUGUGAAUAUUUGAUUGUAGGUGAAGGAGGGGCGGCCGCCCACUUGACGGUGCUGAUCAGGGCGGCGAGGGAGCCCGGCAGGGGGGCGUCGAUGUAGUGCUGGGCGGUGACGAUCCGAUGUAGGGAUCAAGGUCGCCGUGCAGGGAGGCAUCAAUGCAGUGCAGGGCUGGCGAUGAAAGGCAGGGAGAGGGGCGAGGGACACGAUUAGGUUGAGUUUCCUUUUUUGCGAGUUGGUUAGAUGGUUAGAUUACCGUGAUUUGAGGGGCUGAAGAGGUGGGACGGGGAGUUUCAUAUUUUCAUCUGGUGGAGUACGGUCAGUCUAUGUAAACUGCUAAGCGCACACCAGAUCUCGAAUAAAUCAAUGAUGGUUGUUAGAUGGGGCUGUGCGGGCUUGAUCCUGU